rnacentral:rRNA from 1 species
CUCAGAUUGAACCUGGGGGGCCAGGUUUUAACCCAUGCAAAGUGGAGCGGGAGAAAGUUAACUUUGGUUACCAGAUUCAGCGGCGGACGGGGGGAGUAAUGCUUAGGAAUCUUCCUAUUAGUGGGGGACAACGUUCCGAAAGGAGUGCUAAUACCGCAUACGUCCUCCGGGGGAAAGCAGGGGACCUUUGGACCUUGCGCUAAUAGAUGAGCCUAAGUCGGAUUAGCUAGUUGGUAGGGUAAAGGCCUACCAAGGCGACGAUCUGUAGCGGGUUUGAGAGGAUGAUCCGCCCCACUGGGACUGAGACACGGCCCAGACUCCUACGGGAGGCAGCAGUGGGGAAUAUUGGACAAUGGGGGGAACCCUGAUCCAGCCAUGCCGCGUGUGUGAAGAAGGCCUUUUGGUUGUAAAGCCCUUUAAGCGAGGAGGAGGCUCCCUUAGUUAAUACCUCAGGAUAGUGGACGUUACUCGCAGAAUAAGCACCGGCUAACUCUGUGCCAGCAGCCGCGGUAAUACAGAGGGUGCGAGCGUUAAUCGGAUUUACUGGGCGUAAAGCGUGCGUAGGCGGCUUUUUAAGUCGAAUGUGAAAUCCCCGAGCUUAACUUGGGAAUUGCAUUCGAUACUGGCAGGCUAGAGUAUGGGAGAGGAUGGUAGAAUUCCAGGUGUAGCGGUGAAAUGCGUAGAGAUCUGGAGGAAUACCGAUGGCGAAGGCAGCCUUCUGGCCUAAUACUGACGCUGAGGUACGAAAGCAUGGGGAGCAAACAGGAUUAGAUACCCUGGUAGUCCAUGCCGUAAACGAUGUCUACUAGCCGUUGGGGCCCUUGAGGCUUUAGUGGCGCAGCUAACGC